GAAUGCCAUUAUAACAAAGAAGAAGGUACAUUUGACAACUAUUUUAUGUAGCUCUUCCUGAGGAUUCUCGACAGCGGGAGAAAUGUGCUGCCCCCUCCUGGUGAAUCCAUGUCCUGCUGCUGACAUCAGUAUUUGACAUAAGUAUUUGUGUCUCUGAGCUGUAGUUGUCCUCAGUGGCUGAGAGGACCACAGACAUUCAGAGUGACCUGGGGGUGUGACGGUGAAACAAGCUCAUCAAGAGUGAAAGAUGUGUAUCAUCUUAAAAUAAGCAGUCUCAAACCUGGUGAAAAGUACCAGUUCAACAUGGCUACAGAGGGAGAAGAUGGAAGACAAAGCAGAUGGAUCUCAGCAUCCCUAUCCACAGUUGUCCCACCCAGAGUUUUAAAGAUCGACCAUUUGGAAGAGACCUCCUUCACUCUCCACUGGUCCAAGGCUGAAGGGAUGGAGAAAGUCCCACAGCGCUUCUUCAUAUCCAACUGCAUCCCAGGAACAGACCCCUCACAGCCGUUACUGACGACUGCCACAAAACCUUCUCAAACCUGCAUCCUGGCACCAAGUACACUGUUAGUGUUGCAACUGUGCUGAGCAAUGGGGAACAGAGUGAACCUGUCU